CCUACGGGAGGCUGCAGUGGGGAAUAUUGGACAAUGGGCGAAAGCCUGAUCCAGCCAUGCCGCGUGUGUGAAGAAGGCCUUCGGGUUGUAAAGCACUUUCAGUGGGGAAGAAAGCCUUGGGGCUAAUACCCUCGAGGAAGGACAUCACCCACAGAAGAAGCACCGGCUAACUCCGUGCCAGCAGCCGCGGUAAUACGGAGGGUGCGAGCGUUAAUCGGAAUUACUGGGCGUAAAGCGCGCGUAGGCGGUCUGAUAAGCCGGUUGUGAAAGCCCCGGGCUCAACCUGGGAACGGCAUCCGGAACUGUCAGGCUAGAGUGCGGGAGAGGAAGGUAGAAUUCCCGGUGUAGCGGUGAAAUGCGUAGAGAUCGGGAGGAAUACCAGUGGCGAAGGCGGCCUUCUGGACUGACACUGACGCUGAGGUGCGAAAGCGUGGGUAGCAAACAGGAUUAGAUACCCCGGUAGUC
rnacentral:rRNA from 1 species